rnacentral:rRNA from 1 species
AUUGAACGCUGGCGGAAUGCUUUACACAUGCAAGUCGAACGGCAGCACGGACUUCGGUCUGGUGGCGAGUGGCGAACGGGUGAGUAAUAUAUCGGAACGUAUCCAAUAAUGGGGGAUAACUAAUCGAAAGGUUGGCUAAUACCGCAUACGUCCUACGGGAGAAAGCUAGGGACCUUCGGGCCUGGCGUUAAUGGAGCGGCCGAUAUCGGAUUAGCUAGUUGGUGAGGUAAAGGCUCACCAAGGCGACGAUCCGUAGCUGGUCUGAGAGGACGACAAGCCACACUGGAACUGAGACACGGUCCAGACUCCUACGGGAGGCAGCAGUGGGGAAUUUUGGACAAUGGGCGAAAGCCUGAUCCAGCCAUUCCGCGUGAGUGAAGAAGGCCUUCGGGUUGUAAAGCUCUUUCGCAAGAGAAGAAAACUUACCCUCUAACAUAGGGUGAGGUUGACGGUAUCUUGAUAAGAAGCACCGGCUAACUACGUGCCAGCAGCCGCCGUAA